UACUUGCUUUAGAUCAGGAUUGGACCUUGCCUGGCUGCUGCUGCCACCUUCUGACUAGCUGCCCGUGCGAGGUCUGAGUCUUCUCCUCUGAUCAGUCUGUCCCACAUGCCCUGGUCCUUCCACCCCAGAAACCAAGGCUCCUCCUCACGACCUCCCUGCACACGUGGGACAAAGCCACACCAGAGUCCACGCCUCAGGAAGGGCCCCUGCUAGGCAACCUGUGUUCUUCGAUUCCAUUGUGUCUAGAAUGCUCCACCCCUCCCCCUACAUCUGCUUCUAGAGGUGUCACCUCCUGUCCACUGACCCCAACAGCGGUGACUGCCCUGCCCAGGCUGCCACACUUGCCUCUUGCCUCUUGCCUCUUGGCUCAGAGCAGCAGCCCUUCUUCAGCCCCCACACAUCCCCACCACCUGGCACGACCACUUGAACCACGAACAUAAACCAGGACGCACAUAUGUGAGCAAAGAGGCGGAACAGCAGGAGGAACCACCACUGGCGGUCACAGGCACAGGUGGUGCUCCUGGAAGCCACACUCAGCAAGCCACGCAGGAUGGGCAUCCCCCGGGACUCUGCUCGGGGACCUGGAAGGAGGCUGGGCACCCUAGGCACUCUGUGAAGUCUCUUCAGGAGCUACUGCCAGGCAGACACAGCAAUGCGCUCUAUCUCUGCGGCAAAGUCAAGUUCAAAAAUGCAGUCUCUAAGAUGGCUACUUCCUGAAAUUGCCCUUUUAUCCAAAAAGUUAUUAGAAACAAAACAUGCAACUAAUCCUGUCACUGCUGAAACCUGGUCAUCGGAGGAGCACGUCUUAUAGAGGCAUAAGGAAGAAUCUGUAUCUGACCAUGUUUUCUCUUACAAGCCAAUCUGAGUAAUAUCUAGAUCUGAAAACUAAUUUAAAAAGUCACAAUGUCAAUAAAGAACCAUAUACUCACG